GAUGAACGCUAGCGGCAGGCUUAAUACAUGCAAGUCGAGGGGUAGCAAGAUUGUAGCAAUACAAUUGUUGACGACCGGCAAACGGGUGCGGAACACGUACACAACCUUCCUACAAGUGGGGAAUAGCCCAGAGAAAUUUGGAUUAAUACACCGUAACAUAGCGAUGUGGCAUCACAUUGCUAUUAUAGCUUCGGCGCUUGUUGAUGGGUGUGCGGCUGAUUAGAUAGUUGGCGGGGUAACGGCCCACCAAGUCUACGAUCAGUAGCUGAUGUGAGAGCAUGAGCAGCCACACGUGCACUGAGCCACGAGCCCGACUCCUACGGGAGGCAGCAGUAAGGAAUAUUGGACAAUGGACGCAAGUCUGAUCCAGCCAUGCCGCGGGAAGGAUUAAGGUCCUCUGGAUUGUAAACUUCUUUUAUAAGGGACGAAAAAGGUCUUUCUAGGUCGUCUGACGUUACCUUAUGAAUAAGCACCGGCUAACUCCGUGCCAGCCGCCGCGGUAAUAC
rnacentral:rRNA from 1 species